ACAUGGAAACACCGGUUUCCGUACGAUCAGAGAAGAUAAGCAACGUUGAGCCUGCUCAGUGCCAAGAUGGGUAACAGCUUAGGAAUACCAGCUGCUGUGU